CGCUCACCAAAAUUGAUGGCAUGUCCUUGGGCUGUUUCCUGUUCUCAGAAGCUUUUGAUUUGGGAAUUCCUGUGUCUCAGCUCUCCUCUGCUUCACACUGUUUGACUUCUUUUCAGCUUCUCAAAGCAGAACACUGCAAAUCUAGCUUAACAGGAAAGCCCUAUGCUAUUCUUUUCGGAUUUCUGGGUGGCAGAGAGCAUCCCAUCAGUGCCCUGAUACCUCCAACCAGCUGCUGCCUCCCUGCAAGGUUCACAGCUCCUCCAUCUUAAAAAAAAAAAAUAGAAAAAAAAGAAGGGCUGGGGAUGUAAGAGAUUAGAUACAGCCUAACCAUUAGGUGUUACCAUUACAGUGAAACAGAGAAGCCCCCCAGGCUGUCCUGGCAGGCCAGGGGCUGCAGGCACAGGGGGACCCUGCUGCCAUCACCGUCUUCCAGCGCCUGCUCGGGCCUUCUGCUGCCGUCUGAUGCUCUCGGUGCUGGGGAGAAAAUGCACACUUGUGUCUGGAACACAGCUCAGGUUAGCCAAAUCAUCGCUUCUUGACAUUUUUUCCCCCUGAAGCUGCCAUUAUUGCUAGCUGAAAUGUUAGCAUUACAAAAGCGAACAAGUAUAGUCAAUAAAUCUCUUUUAAUAAAGUAGA
rnacentral:lncRNA from 1 species